rnacentral:rRNA from 1 species
UACGUAGGGGGGCUAGCGUUGUCCGGAAUCAUUGGGCGUAAAGCGCGUGUAGGCGGCCUGCUAAGUCGGAUGUGAAAUCCCUCGGCUCAACCGAGGAACUGCAUCCGAUACUGGCGGGCUUGAAUCCGGGAGAGGGAUGUGGAAUUCCAGGUGUAGCGGUGAAAUGCGUAGAUAUCUGGAGGAACACCGGUGGCGAAGGCGGCAUCCUGGACCGGUAUUGACGCUGAGGCGCGAAAGCUAGGGGGAGCAAACGGGG